ACAAACCUCGGCUUUCUCUUGAUCAAAGUUUGUUAAAGUAAAAUUGCUUCUCGAUCGCAGUCAGCCCUUUCCGCAGUUCAGUCUUCUGUCAUUGUAGCUGCAGACUGAUUGGAAAGGCUUUGAAUAUUUCUCUCUCAGCAUGAUGAAAUUACCAGGCAUGGAGGACGCCGCUAUAACGGUCCCCUCUGAAGUGGCUCAUAGAGCUGAAAAUAUCUUUGGAACAGCAAAGGAAUAAACCCAGAUCGAACAUGAGAGAAGAUGUGAAGAUAGAAAACAUGAGAGAAAAAUACCCAAAUUAUUUUAUUUGGGGAACCUCAGCUGACUCAGCCGUUUAACCAGCUGCUGUAUCAAACCACUCAGGACCAUGAUGACGUUGGUGGUCGCCAGAGGACUUUGAGACAUCCAACGAAUAGGG
ensembl:lncRNA